CGCGGCCUAUCAGCUUGUUGGUGGGGUAAAGGCCUACCAAGGCGACGACGGGUAGCCGGCCUGAGAGGGCGACCGGUCACACUGGGACUGAGACACGGCCCAGACUCCUACGGGAGGCAGCAGUAGGGAAUAUUGCGCAAUGGACGAAAGUCUGACGCAGCAACGCCGCGUGAGGGAUGAAGUACAUCGAGAUGUAAACCUCUUUCAGCAGGGACGAAGCUAACGUGACGGUACCUGCAGAAGAAGCACCGGCUAACUACGUGCCAGCAGCCGCGGUAAUACGUAGGGUGCAAGCGUUGUCCGGAUUUAUUGGGCGUAAAGGGCUCGUAGGCGGUCUGUCGCGUCGGAUGUGAAAACUCGGAGCUUAACUCCGGGCCUGCAUUCGAUACGGGCAGACUAGAGUUCGGUAGGGGAGACUGGAAUUUCUGGUGUAGCGGUGGAAUGCGCAGAUAUCAGGAAGAACACCGAUGGCGAAGGCAGGUCUCUGGGCCGACACUGACGCUGAGGAGCGAAAGCAUGGGGAGCGAACAGGAUUAGAUACCCUGGUAGUCCAUGCCGUAAACGGUGGGCGCUAGGUGUGGGGUUCCUUCCACGGGCUCCGCGCCGUAGCUAACGCAUUAAGCGCCCCGCCUGGGGAGUACGG
rnacentral:rRNA from 1 species